rnacentral:rRNA from 1 species
GUUGAAAAAUUAGCGGAUGACUUGUGGCUGGGGGUGAAAGGCCAAUCAAACCGGGAGAUAGCUGGUUCUCCCCGAAAGCUAUUUAGGUAGCGCCUCGUGAAUUCAUCUCCGGGGGUAGAGCACUGUUUCGGCAAGGGGGUCAUCCCGACUUACCAACCCGAUGCAAACUGCGAAUACCGGAGAAUGUUAUCACGGGAGACACACGGCGGGUGCUAACGUCCGUCGUGAAGAGGGAAACAACCCAGACCGCCAGCUAAGGUCCCAAAGUCAUGGUUAAGUGGGAAACGAUGUGGGAAGGCCCAGACAGCCAGGAUGUUGGCUUAGAAGCAGCCAUCAUUUAAAGAAAGCGUAAUAGCUCACUGGUCGAGUCGGCCUGCGCGGAAGAUGUAACGGGGCUAAACCAUGCACCGAAGCUGCGGCAGCGACGCUGAUGCGUUGUUGGGUAGGGGAGCGUUCUGUAAGCCUGCGAAGGUGUGCUGUGAGGCAUGCUGGAGGUAUCAGAAGUGCGAAUGCUGACAUAAGUAACGAUAAAGCGGGUGAAAAGCCCGCUCGCCGGAAGACCAAGGGUUCCUGUCCAACGUUAAUCGGGGCAGGGUGAGUCGACCCCUAAGGCGAGGCCGAAAGGCGUAGUCGAUGGGAAACAGGUUAAUAUUCCUGUACUUGGUGUUACUGCGAAGGGGGGACGGAGAAGGCUAUGUUGGCCGGGCGACGGUUGUCCCGGUUUAAGCGUGUAGGCUGGUUUUCCAGGCAAAUCCGGAAAAUCAAGGCUGAGGCGUGAUGACGAGGCACUACGGUGCUGAAGCAACAAAUGCCCUGCUUCCAGGAAAAGCCUCUAAGCAUCAGGUAACAUCAAAUCGUACCCCAAACCGACACAGGUGGUCAGGUAGAGAAUACCAAGGCGCUUGAGAGAACUCGGGUGAAGGAACUAGGCAAAAUGGUGCCGUAACUUCGGGAGAAGGCACGCUGAUAUGUAGGUGAAGUCCCUCGCGGAUGGAGCUGAAAUCAGUCGAAGAUACCAGCUGGCUGCAACUGUUUAUUAAAAACACAGCACUGUGCAAACACGAAAGUGGACGUAUACGGUGUGACGCCUGCCCGGUGCCGGAAGGUUAAUUGAUGGGGUUAGCGAAAGA